GGAUGUAAGGGUGAUCUGGCUGUGACAUCUGUCACCCCAUUGUCACCCCAUUGAGUCAGCUGAUCUGGCUGGCUAUGCAGGUGUCCCCUUCCUCCCUCAAAGAUCCAUGUGUGUCCCUCCCAAGGCCGCACAUUCAGUGGAAGAGGACUACCACCCCCGAUAGAGGAGGACUGUUCCUUGGUCCAGGGUAUAUGAGUAGCUGCCUGCCCCACAACCUCCAAACAAGCUCUCAAAAAUACAAGCCUCGGGCCAGGGAGAUGGCUCAGUGGAAUAAGCGCUUCCUUGGCAAGUGCAAGGGCCUAAGU
rnacentral:snRNA from 1 species